rnacentral:rRNA from 1 species
GACAAGGUUCCGUAGGUGAACCUGCGGAAAGGUUCAUUA